rnacentral:lncRNA from 1 species
AAGGAUAGGUCCCGAUGGCCACAGCAGCAACUCUUACUUCAUUGCCGAUUCGGAGAGUGAUCUCACCUUCCCUCAGCCCCCUAACUUCUUCAAGACCCUGCGUAGAAGUGCACAAGCAAGCACUUGAAUCAGAAUCUAGAAUCCAACUAGAAGAAGAGAAUCAUUAGAUUAGAUUCUAUUAUGAGCAAAUCAAACAUACCUUCAGAAGGCCCAUCCUUCUUCUAAUUUUUCACAGUCGUUAAGUAGGCUGGACAGUUUCUUCUCUAAUGGCCUUCGAAAUUGCAAUGGAAACACUUUUCUUUAUCAUCGACCUUCUUCGGAAUCUACUUUUUGAGCUUGACCUCAUUCUUUCGCUUCUUUGCAUGCUUCUUCUUUUUCUUAAAAGAAGACUUUCUCUUAGAGGAAGCCUACUCCACAAGCAGAACCAUAUCUCUUGAAUCUUUCAAGAUGCCCUCAGCUGUCACCAACAUGUUCAGUAAUUCGGGCAAAGUGCUAUCAAUUUUAUUCAUAUGGUAGUUCAUAAUGAACUGUCCAUAUGAAUCAAAAAGAGACUGGAGGAUCCAAUCCAUCUGUAAUUUCUUAUCCAUGUUCAUCUCGAGCUUCUAAAGCUCUUCGAUGUCCUUAAUCAUUAUCAAACAAUGAUCAUUGAUAGACUGUCCAUCAUGCAUUUUCAUUCUGAAUAGUCUCUGGGAUGGUUCAAAAUGAGCUAUGCGACUCUGCUCACCAUACAACUCUUACAAAUGAGUCAGUAUCUCCUUGGCAGUCCUCACGUCUUCACGCUAGCACUAAAGAUCAUUGGACAUGGAUGCUAAAAUGUAGCACUUCGCCUUAUUGUCCUCAUCCAUUCACUUCUCAAGUGUGGCUAGUUGAUCAGGGGAUGGAUGAGUUGGUAACACAGGCGCAUCCUGAUCUAGGAUAUGAGUCAGUUUUUUGCAACUGAGAAUGAUUCUUAAAUUCCUAAGCCAAUCUUUGUAGUUUGUCCCAGUCAACCUAUUUGUGUCAAGGAUAUGGGCUAAAGGAUUGACACUCGACAUGAUUAUCUAUAGAGAGAAUAAUUUCUAAUUAGAUGUUUGCAUUUAUUAAAUAUUUGUUUUAGGAACUUUUAAAAUCAAACAAGACUUCCACUAUUUUUUCAAAGCUCCUACACUCCUCGGAUGGAGAAACGAAAAUAUAUAUGUGAUUGAUUUCUAGUGGGUACUACGAUCCCACUGAUCUAUAUACAUCUCACCUGACAGUUAUUGAAGAGCACAGACCAAUGAGUGGACAACACCUUAUCCAUUGCUUCACUAAGCAAGAUCAGCAGGUUUGAUCUCAAAAUCCUGUGGCCUCACCUAACAGUUAUUGGCAUAUUUCUUAAUUAAGUCAGAUCCACCAUUCACCAAUAGAUGCAAAGCCAUCAUUAGGUCCCUCAUCUAACAGAUAUUGAGCCCAACCUUAUCUCUACCCUGAGGCAUCUAAUGCCAAUAGAAUAGUUGUACCUUUUCAAUACAAUCGAACCACUGUAAUCAAUCAAGAAUGAUCAACAUCAGGAAAGCACCCACAUCUCUAUAAUGGUGAAAGACUGUUAGACUUAAUAUUUAGUGAGAAGAUUUAGAUUUAGAUCUCUUCUAAGUCAUCAGAUUUGAUAUCUGACUGACCAAGCUCAAGUCAGCACAUUCAUAUAUCUGACCUACCUAGUCGGCAUGGGUGAACUCGAAUAAACAAGUAACCUAAUUCAAAACAUAAUCUCCUAAAAUGGUCAGAUAAAUUAAGACGAGUGAGAGUCCCCUCGUUGCUUUCAUUAGAUACCAAUGAAUUGAUCAGGUCAGACAAUGAAAUCAAUUAAAUAACCACCAUCUAGAUAUUUGCCUUAAACACUAAAUUGAUCGAUUAGAAUCGAUCAGGUUAACCUAUUGACCUAGGCCCNNNNNNNNNNNNNNNNNNNNNNNNNNNNNNNNNNNNNNNNNNNNNNNNNNNNNNNNNNNNNNNNNNNNNNNNNNNNNNNNNNNNNNNNNNNNNNNNNNNNNNNNNNNNNNNNNNNNNNNNNNNNNNNNNNNNNNNNNNNNNNNNNNNNNNNNNNNNNNNNNNNNNNNNNNNNNNNNNNNNNNNNNNNNNNNNNNNNNNNNNNNNNNNNNNNNNNNNNNNNNNNNNNNNNNNNNNNNNNNNNNNNNNNNNNNNNNNNNNNNNNNNNNNNNNNNNNNNNNNNNNNNNNNNNNNNNNNNNNNNNNNNNNNNNNNNNNNNNNNNNNNNNNNNNNNNNNNNNNNNNNNNNNNNNNNNNNNNNNNNNNNNNNNNNNNNNNNNNNNNNNNNNNNNNNNNNNNNUAACUACAAUUAAACUUGAUUCGAGCCUAUUUAACCUAAUCCUAACCAACAAUUGAUUAGGUUCAAUUGACUGCUCAAAAUCGACAAUGGGUUCUAGCCUGAUCUAAUCAAUUGAUCCUAAUUGUAGUUUGAUCACUAGACCUAAUUUAUUUAAUUUAUACCCACAUGCAAUAACAUAAUUUUCAGACUCUAAAAAAAAUUUUAGAUUAUGUUUCAUUACAUGCAUUAGUGGCUUAUGAUCUUAAAACAGUUUCAGAUCUAAAUCUAAUGUUAUAUAUCACAUAUAUGAAGUUUUAGAUCUAAACUUCAAACAUGUAGACCCAGAUCUAAAACAAUGAUUAAAACAUCUUGAAAAUACUUUUCAAAAAUCGGUUCGCAUCAAACUAGGACAACCUUAUACCAGUUCGAUGUGAAUUUUUAAUCAUUCUAAUUUUAGAUCUAACAUGAAUAAAGAUAUAUCAUAUAUAUUUAUUUUCAGAUCUAAAAGAUUGAUCUAAAUAUUUCAAAAAUAGUUUUUAAAAUCGAUCAAUCUUAUGCUAGGACAAUCUUUUCAAUAUAGAGAUUUAACCCUAUAUCAGGACAACCUUAUACCAGCACAAGAUCAAUUUUAAACCAUUCAAACUUUCAAAUCUAAAUCAAAAAUUAGAUUAUAAAUAUCUUAAAAACCAGUGGCUCUGAUACCACUAUUAGAAAAUCAGAUAGGGUUGCAUGCAUAGAUUUCAAAAACUUUUGAAGUAGUAGUGAAAACGAUCUAGGUAAACCCUUUAACCCCACAUACAAUAGAUAUAAUCUAUAUCUACCCAAGCCCUGGAUUAAACACAUACAUAUAAUCUAAAAAUUAAAAUAAAAAUUGAGAUCGGAUCUCAAUACUUUGUGCAGAUUGAAAUACACUGCAAUCGAUGAUCUUAGAUCUGAAGAUUUCUGAGCCACACACGUAUCCGAUCUCUACAGAUAUCCAUCGAGAUCAAUCUUAAAUCUUUCUUCUCGUUAUAGAUCCAUCUUCUCCAAGAUGAAUCUCAGCCUUUUGAAUCUUUGAUCAACUCUUGAUCUUUGACCGUAAUCUCAACAUUUGAACUGCAGUCUUUCUCCCUGUUCCUUGCUAUAGAAGAAAUCAUCCUCAACUUAGGCAUGUGGGAAGAUGGGAUGCCCAACCCUUGGGUGUUGGAAAGAGAGGAGGAAGAGAAGAUGGCGUGGAGAUGGAGAGAGGAGGUGAUCUGAUUUCUCACUUUAAUUAAUUUUAAAACCUUAGGAGACCAUCUUUUAUAUAGACCUUUUUUUGAUUCCAAAUCAGUCUCCAAUCAAUCUAAAAAGGCUAGUCCUUAUCUCAUAAGGAUUUUUAUCUUUUUAAUCUUUUUUUUUCAAAAAAAUUAGAUCCAAUUGAAAAGAUCUUCGCCUUUUUUGGUAAGUAAAUGGGGCACCCCAUAUCAAAAUAGACAAGUUGAGUGGGUGCCCUCAUCAAAACUUGACAAGUAGUUGGGGCGCCAACUCUUGGUGCCCCUUUAAGGGCUUUGCACACAAGAGAGGGGGCGUAGCCCCUCUCUCUCUCCCCCUCCACACUAAGGCAAAAGAAGGGGUGGGCCCCUCUCUCUUUCUCACGCCCACUCCAAGGGGUUUGCAUCUCUUGGACUUUUCAAAAAGAGAGGCUUGCGCCUCCUCUCUUCUUUCCAAUAAUUUCACACCACAUAAGGAAAUAACAAGAGAGAAAAUAAGGAGACUAAUUUGCCAACUAAUUGAUUUGAUCCAAUCCUUUUGGGCCCUCAAAUAGGUGUCCAACUAAAUCCAAAUCAAAAUGGAUCUAGUUAAGGUUCAAGGCUAUAGACUUGAUCCAAUCCUUAUCUAAUAAGGAAUUCAAGUCCAGAAAAGAAUUGGGUUUAAUCAUGUGCUAGCAUGGUUCUCUUAAACCCCAUAGAAUUUCAAUAAAUCCUAAUCUAAUUAGAACUUUAUAAGUCUAAUUGGAUAAUUCAAGAUUAAAUCUCUUAAUAUGUAACCCCAUAAGUUCCAUUCUAUCUGGUAGUGAGAUAUAUUGUGAUCUCCACCACAAUAUCAUCGAAACUCUUUUUGAUGGAUUGAAACAAUUCUAACUCUAUCCUUCGAGGGUCAUCGAUCAUCAAAAUGAUGCCCAAUGAGUCUCAUAAUCCAUCAGUGACACCUAAUAGUAUAUAGUGGUAACCCAAUAGAAUGAAAAUUUGAACCCUUAGGUAUAGUUAUCAUAUGAUUCAGUCCUUCUAUCAUGAGUCCCGACUUGACGAAAGUCAUGGAGAACUCAUCAUACUCCAUCGUCAGUCAUAUGCUAGAUUGGCUCAACCCGAGUUGUGAAUCUCGUGGAAACUCUUUUUCAGUAUUCACACUUGUUUUGACCAAAGACUUUCUGAACUCAGUCUCCCAAAUCGCAUAGGACUUCUCUUUUUCUACAUGAUCAAUAGAUUUCAUCUAGGUACAUCCUACUCCUAAUAGUGAAUCUGAACCUACUGAAGCCAACAUACACAGCAAGGAUCAAAUGACUAGAGACCAAAGAAAUGUACAGUCAAACUUACUAGCCUCACUGUGAAUAGCUGAUGACAUCAUAGGUCAAAGGAACACUCAUACUACCGCAGUAUCAAGACAACCACUGACGAGUGAGUAGAUAUCUAAAUAAUUUUUCAUGUUGGUCAUGCUCAAUGCAAGUUAUUCUCUAACAACCACUUGCACUCGUACUCCAGUAUCCCUACACUACAUACUCGAGACUUAUUUGUCCAGAUGAGAGGUGAUCCAUGCACCGAUCUUUAAAUGGAUUGAUCACUAUUCUCCAUGAUGAUCCUUUGAUCGAGAGUAUUUAGAAAUUAAAUACUAAUUAAUGUAUGUCUCAAAUUCUCAAUACUUUGAGAAUAUACAAAAAUCAUCUUUGUUAAUUUUUAAGAUAAAUCAUGGACACAUAAACAUGAUUGAAAAUAGAAAUACUCUUUAUUAAUAAUAAAAAUAUUAUAAGUAUAAAGUUAAGCCCUGAAAUUACAUAAUGUGUCAGCCAACAAUUGACUUCUAAGGCACUCAUCUAACAAAAAUAUCUUGGCGGUCCACGCCUCCCUUUGUGAACCGACGAUCCACGAUAGACUGUGUGAAGACACCAUCAUAGGCCGUGCUCUCGCCUACUGGGCCAGCCCACACAUGUGCCCACUGGGCCUGGCUGAUGCAUCUAUGGGCGUACUGCUUUGUGGGUCUGUCUGCCAUCUAUUGGCCCUACCAGCCCACCUCCUAAUUUUUUUUUCAUGCGUAAUUUCUCCAUCUGUACUUUAUUUGGACUGUUCUUAGGGUUGUUAGACUCUAUUCAUCAUCCUGGAUCUCAUUCUAAGCUAAUUAUAAGUCGAAUUCAAGAUUAUUUUUUCAAUAAUCUCUAUCUCAACUUGAUAUUCGGCCUUCACCUAACUUUGAGAGCUUCUGGAUCCCAUCCCGAUGCCCUGGGGCAAUCGUCUGCUACUCAUGGAUGGACAAAUAUGGGAGUUGAGCUAAACCACUCAAUCCCAUCUCCGUCAUAUCCUCUGAUCUGAGAUCUGCUCGAUAUAGCCUUCUGGCGACGUUGUGAAUCAUCCUCCCAAGUCUCUUAUCCUGUGUUUGAUACAUUUUCACCUAGAGCUCCACCUCGCACUGAGCUUCCGGUAGCAUCCUCCAUGUAGACGGCUCCUCCUUACACAAGAGAGCAUCGAUCAACCCUUCAUAGUAGAUCUCUAUCUUGAUUGCUCCUGUCCUCUCCAUCUUCAAUCUUGAUCACCACAGCCGCAACCUACACCUGGUACCAACCCGACCAUGAUAACAAUUGUUGUGAUAUCACCUUGCUCUGACAUCAAUUGUUGUGGCUCUGUGAUAUCACUUGUUAUGUAGGAUCCGGUACGACUUGUCACAAUAGGAAGAAAGAAAAAAUAAAAUAGGAAACAUAAUCAAGUACGUGGAUAAACCCAAGCACUGCCUUAAUGAGGCAUGCAAGCUUCACUACGAGAAAAAAAUAAUACAAGAUGAGAACAUCCACUCUCAACUCUCUGUAUACUAAUCUCUCUCAACUAGAAGCUACUGUCACAAAAGCUCUCCCAAAGUCUCCAAAGAGACCCUCUCACAAGCCUGCCAGUAUCAGGAUCCUCGACGCCCCUAGAUGCUUCUUAUGGAGCAAAUAGCUACUUCAUGCCUCUCCACAACUGCGCUGUCUGACGCUCUACUGAGCUCUGCCUGCUUCUCACACUCGGUGCUCUGUCGAACUCUCUCCCGAGGGCUGCUUGAGCUCUCAUUGGCUUCAUGACUCUCUGCUAACAGCCUCACGGUUCUGUUCGCCCAUAGGGCUCUUAAAGCCCAAAAAUCCAAACUGUAUCAUAAUCAGACUCCUGAUCAAACUCCUAUAGCUUCUCGACCAUCCGAUCACACCUCAAAAUGGAAACUGGCCAUUUGAUUGCACCCCAUCGUGACCCUGCACGUCCCUGAUCUCCUUUGAUCCAUCCGAUCACGAUCGCGAGCACCCACAGCCAUCCGAUCAUGCAUCGGUCCAUGAGAACCCCGCAUGAGCCAUGAGAAACCAUCUAAAAAUAUUGCCGAUCCACUAUGGACUAUGAGAAACCAGGUGAGAAAUGUCCUGGUGGUCCAUGCCUCCCUUUGUGAAUCAGCAGUCCACAAUGGACUGCAUGAAGACACCGUCACAGGCCGCACUCUUGUGUGCCUGCUGGGUCGGCCCACGCAUGCACCUGUGCUAGGCCACAUGCUCGCUGGACCUGGCCCAUGCAUCUAUGGGCCCGCACGCUCUGUGGGCCUGUCUGCCAUCUAUGGGCCUUAUCAGCCCACCUCCUCACUUUCUUUUGUGCGUAACUUCUCCAUCUGGACUCUAUUUGGGCUGUUCUUGGGCUCGUUGGACUCUAUUCGUCAUCUUGGAUCUUAUUUUGGGCUUACUGUGGAUCAAAUUUAAGAUAUUUUUCUCAACAGUUCAAUCAAUCCUUGUACAUCUAUGGGUAGGUUCUUAACCAAUUGCUCUCCAAAUAUAUUUUUAGUAAUAAUUGUACCCCAGACAUCUCUUCAGCAGGCGUGUGGCGCCUCUACUAAAAGUCUCAAUUAGGUUCAACUAUUAAUAUGACCAUACUCAGUGUGUCUAACUAAUGAAUGAGUUGAUCAGAGUGUGGCUCGGUCAAUCUAACCACCCACUAGAAAGUCACACCUGAGUCAUCAUAUAAUGAAUGAUAAUUCUAAUAGUUAGAUAAAUACCAGGCGUGUGGCAUCUUCAAUGCUUAACUAGACUAUUGGACCCAUUACCAUCCACUUUAAUGGGAGGCUAUAAACUUGUUAACCCUUUAACAUUAUCAUUUUAAGGACCUAAUAAUUUAGAAGAUUUAAUUAUUUAUUUUAAAGUCAAAAGAAGAAAUUGAUCAGUAAUUCAAAAAUCCUCCCACUAACUCACCAAGUCAUCUUAGAGGACUAAAAACAAACUGGUGUAGAGAUACCUGAAUCAAUCAUACUAAUUAACCUUAAUAGCAUAGGUUAGCUCGAAUCAUCAGGCAAUCUAACUUAGAACUUAAUUGACCAAGUUAGCUAAGUAAGUGAGAUCGAUGGGAGGAUCUGUCAAAGCUUACCUUAGACACCAUCGAAAUGACCAAGUAAACGGACUGUCAAUUAAAAACCAUCGAUCGUAUUGCCAAACUUAUCUUAGACAUUAAUUGGUCAAUAAAAAUUAAUCAGGUCAACCUUUUGAUCCAAGUCCGAAUCACUAAGCCACAAUUAAAAUUUAUUUGUUCAAAUCAAAAUGUGGACUUGAUCAAGCUACAACUAUUGAGUUUGAUCUAGAAAAAUUUUGAUUUAAUCUAAUUCAACUCUUGAUUAGAUUUAAUUAGUUUUUUAAUUUGAUCCACAUUAUAUUUGAUUCUAAUCCUAGGUCUAACCCAGUUAAAUAACCUGAUUUGAGCUAACCCAUUGCCCCAUGAUUUAUGGAAUGUCUCAAGAUCUUCAAUUCUCAAAUCUAGAUCUCUUAAUUUCAUAUCUUAAUUCUUAAUUAAGUAUAUGAAAUCAGUUAUUGAAAUAAUUUCAAUGUAAAACUGUUUUACAAAGUUUCAUACAAAAUUUGCAUCAUAUGUCAUAAAAUUUCAAAUUAUGAAACUUAAUUUUUAGAUUUAAAUAUUUUGCUUAAAUCAAAAAAUAUUAAUCAUAAAUCUUUUAGAUCUAAUCUAAACUUGUUUAUGAUUAGAACGAUUCUAAAAAAUUCUUUUCACUAUUCUUUUUCAAGAUAUCUGAUCACAGCGGCACUCCAACACACCAUAAGAGAACCCAUCGAUUGAACAAGAGAGAGACUUUAAUUCCUAUUUUCUCUUAUGACCGGAUGGCCACGAUGAUCAACUCAAUCUGAGUACUUGGUUACUAAGAAAAUUUAUGCACAAUAUAUCAUAUAUGUAAAAAAAAAAUUCUGAUUCAAAUCAUAUUCAUAACAUGACAGCAUACAAAAUUUUUAUCUAAUCUACUUAGAUCAUUUCAUAACAUCACAAUUAUUUCAGAUCUGAACCUAUAAUUUAUACACCAUAUAAAUCAUCUAAUUAAGAUCUGAAAUAUACAUGAAAUCUGUUCUAAAAUUAGAUCUAAAUAUGAAUUAAAAUUUGGUUUAAUAACAGGACUGUAGUAUCAUAAAAUUCUGUUCUAAACAGAACUAAAAACCUAUUCUGAAUAGGUCUGAAAAUCUUUUCAAAAAUAUAUCCGAAAAUACCCAAAAAAUCUAUUCAAAAUAGAUCUAACAAUCUAUUUCAAAAAUAGAUUCAAAAUGCAUAAAAAUCUGUUCUAAAUAGAUCCAAAAAUCUGUUCUAAAACAGAUUUACAAGUCCUUGAAAAACUCUGUUCAAAACAGAUUUUGUAAACCUAUUCAAAAUAAAUCCAAAACUUCACAGAAAAAUUAUAAAAUUAGAUUUGAUUCCUAUACAUUAAGAUCAGAUCAAAAUCAGAUCAAAAUUUUAAGAAAAACAUAUCAAAAUCAAAUCUGAUUUCAUAACAGAAAUCUGGUCAAAACCAGAUUUAAAAAAUCUGCGCACAUGAUUACUAUCAGAUUUUAAUUUGCAUUCAGAUCGGAACCUAGCUCUGAUAUUAGUUGAAGAAAAAAUUUUCGAUCUAAAUCUGAAUUUAGAUAAGAUGCUAGAAAAAAUAACAGAUUUUAGAUUUAAAAAAUUUGAGGACAAGAUAAUCAAUAUACCUUCUAUGCAGCGGAAGAAACUAGUUUCGGAUCUCUUUGAAUCUGCUUCGCAAGAGUUGCUGAUGUGACUCCUCUACUUCGCUCACACAUCUUGCUCCAUGGAAGAGAGGGGAUGAAGGCUUAGGCAGCACACCAAAGAAGAAGGAGAGAGGAGGGAUGGCAUUGAGAAAGGAGGAAGGAUGCCCAGAUCAAAUCCACCGCCCACCUUUUAUUUUUUUGUGAUUUUCUCUAUGUAUCUCGCCCCUUCUCAAUACCCCCUUUUAUGGUUUGUCACAUAAACCAGAUAUGGCAUACCAUCAAGAGAUAAGAGGCCUAAUUUGAAUCCAAUUCAAAUUGCCUCUUAUCCCUAAAGAGACCCAAGGAAGAAGGGAGGCGCCACCUCUCAUUGCGGUAUGCACAAG